rnacentral:misc_RNA from 1 species
AAGUCGUAACAAGGUUUGGAUAUUGUAAAGCAUGUUUAAUGAACUUUCCUGGUUCAACUUGCUGAAGCCUUAGCAGCCAGCUCAAAAGAUAUGUUAUUUUUUGUUUUGGUGCCCAGAGCGACUAAAGUAAAAAUAAAUACUGGAGAUUAAAUGCUAGUCAUUCGAUAGAUAAUAAUUAAUUUAUUAUUGAUUGGAUGCAACACCGCUCAAUUGCUGGAAGUUGCUAAAGCUCAAUUGCAACGUUUGUUGGCUUUUUUGUGUCAACAGCUUUUGUCUUGCUGUAAUAGUAAGAUUACAAGAGAACACAAUUACAACUCUUAGCAAUGGAUGUCUAGGUUCUC